UUACAGGUGCAAACCAUUAUUAUCUUCAUAUGAUUCUAUAUUUAUUACAUAUUGCAACUGGAUAUCUGCAAGUUAUAAAGAAAGUAAUAUAUAUGAAGAAAAAAGGAAUAUGUGUACAGUACAUUAUAGGAGUAAUAAAUGCCUACAAAUGACUAAAAAUACGAUUUGGUUUUGUGGAGAUUAUUUUCUUGCUUAUAAUCGCGCAAAGAAUGGUACCAUUAAAAAGGAUGAAAAGAUUGUGGGAAAUAAUAGCACUUUUAUUAAAUCUAUUGCUCUUUCCGAUGAUUAUAUUAUAAGUGGCGACGUAUAUGGUAUUAUUAAACACUGGAGAAUUGAAUCAAAGAAGGAUAAAAGAAAUGAUCUUAAAUAUUCAGUAAUACAUGAUGUAGAUAAAAAAAUUAAUGUCAUAGACGCAACAUCACAACACAUUAUAAUUGGUUCUUACAAUUUAAUAAAGAUACUGAAAUAUACAGACGAAUAAAAA